AAGGGCGUGCGAAAAAAGACGCCCAAUAUCUCUCGCCUCACUAAGUACUGUAGAAGAGUGUUAAUUGUUGGCAUGUUGAGAAGAGCUGACAAGUGGCGCAGUUUUCCAGCAGCCGACAACGAAAUGCUGAUAAUCGUUCAGUAAAACUAGAAGCAAACAAGCUGCAAGAAAUAGCGUGACUACGGCAGAGGGACGGGUUCCCGGAACGGAAGGAAGUGAUCAUCAACGCCACCAGCUCAUAGCAAUCAGGGAAUCAAUCAACAGUCCGCAAGGAAACCUGUUACAGCACCGACACGUGCACGCCAUCACUCUCAAUAGACACGCUUCUAGGUCCCGUCCCACCGCCCUCGUAAUUCGAUUCUACAAACAGGCUGCGCCGGAAUCGAGCCCCGCUCCGAGGAUCAGCUGAAAGUCUGACAGCACGAACCGUACAUCGACCACCCAUGUGAAACUUAAGGUACUGAAUCCAAGUUGCAGAUUCCUGGAGAAGCUAAGAAUCACUAAGCUAAUUACGAAAUUCUCUGCUUUAAUGCAACCCGAAAUGUCACUACCAUCCUCACAUUAUUCCGAAACUUGUCCCUGUCCUGGACUAGACAAUUUCAAUCCAAGCUUUCCUAUCCAGUUUCUAGAAGAUCCAGUUCAGGAACACCUCUACACUAAGGUCGUCCAGCUGGCCUCUUCUCUAAACGCUUUCCUACUAAAACUCUGUGUAUAUUGUGACGUUACAAUAUUUCUCACAUGUACCAUCCGAACUACGUGAUCCUCCCAUUGGAUUAUCCUUAUUUUCAUCAACAUAACAAAAUCUGAAGAAGAGUAAAAAUUAUACAGUUCUUAAUAUGUAACUUUUUCCGACCUUUUGUUACUUACUGUUUCUCAGAUUAUUUUUCUGGUCGCUUUGUAUGUCAUUUUUAAACAAAUGUAAAUAUAGUUUAAUUAAAUGUUAAACACCUUAACAUAUGAUUUUCAGUACAGCUGGAUCGUGCAAGACAUUAAA